rnacentral:tRNA from 2 species
GUGAGCGUAGUUCAACGGUAAAACAAUGUUCCAAGUCUUGAAUUCUUGGAUUACUAUGCAGGUUCGACUCCUGCCGCUCGCU